rnacentral:rRNA from 1 species
CAGAGGGUGCGAGCGUUGUUCGGAAUUACUGGGCGUAAAGCGCGCGCAGGCGGCUUUUAAGUCCGUUGGUGAAAUGCCGGGGCUCAACCCCGUGCCCGCCAGGGAUACUGGAGAGCUGGAGACGAGUAGAGGCAAGCGGAAUUCCGGGUGUAGCGGUGGAAUGCGUAGAGAUCCGGAAGAACACCGGAGGCGAAGGCGGCUUGCUGGGCUCGGUCUGACGCUGAGGCGCGAAAGCGUGGGGAGCGAACAGGAUUAGAUACCCUGGUAGUCCACGCCGUAAACGAUGGGCACUAGACGCGGGUGGGAUCGACCCCUUCCGUGUCGCAGCUAACGCGAUAAGUGCCCCGCCUGGGGAGUACGGCCGCAAGGCUG